UUGAGGGGUGCUUUCUCUCUCUGCUGAGCCCACUUGCCCUCUGGUGAUUAAAAAGAAAAAAAAUGAUAAAUAUUUGGAUUAAAUUACUUUGGAUUCAAAUCCCAAUCCUACUAUGGAAUCUGCUGAAGGAAUUUAGCUAAAUUUUAUACUAAAAUUAAUAUAAAAAAUAAAGGGCCAAGAAUUACCAAGACUAUUCUGAAGAAGAAGAGAAGCUUGAAUGUUCCUGAUUCAAGAUUUAUUAUAAGAUUACCAAUUAAGACAGGUGAUGGGGUAGAGAAAGGUCUUAAGACCAACUGAACAGCAGGAAGAGACUUGAACAGGGACUGGAAUAUGCGUUAACUCAUCGGAUCCACUCUAUAUGCCACUGAGAGAUUUUGCAGAUGAAUAAACUGAGCUUCAGAAAAGGGCCAGGUGGUGGCAUAGCAGCAACAUGACUGGAACCACAUGGGAAAGGUCCUGGGCUUGUGUCCUGGAACUUCCCUGAGGACAUUCGAUACAUAUCUGCCCAUGAUCCUGGCCAGAAUAUUGCUUCAGUGAUACAGGGUCUCAUGUGAUUCCAAAUUUUAUCAUUUUUUUUCUGUCUAUGAACAAUAUCUUUGGCAAUCUGAUUGGUAUAGCAUUUAAUUUGGACUGGACAUUGCAUUUAAUUUGGAUAGAAUUGACAUUUUUAUUAUAUUAAUUCUUCCAGUUCAGGAACAUGAGAUGUUUUUCCACUUUUAUUUUCUUCUUGUUGUUGUUAUUUUUCAUGUUCAAGUGGGAAUAUGCUAGACUAAAAACUUCUGUACUGCAAAAGAGACAAUUGGAGUGAAGAGACAACCCUCAGAACAGGAGACUAUAUUUGCAAACUAUGCCUUCGACAA